rnacentral:rRNA from 1 species
CGCAAGCCUGACGGAGCAAUACCGCGUGAGGGAGGAAGGCUUUUGGGUUGUAAACCUCUUUUCUCAAGGAAGAAGAAAGUGACGGUACUUGAGGAAUAAGCCACGGCUAAUUCCGUGCCAGCAGCCGCGGUAAUACGGGAGUGGCAAGCGUUAUCCGGAAUCAUUGGGCGUAAAGCGUCCGCAGGUGGUUAUUCAAGUCUGCUGUUAAAGACAGAAGCUCAACUUCUGAAAGGCGGUGGAAACUGGAGAACUAGAGUACGGUAGGGGUCGAGGGAAUUCCCAGUGUAGCGGUGAAAUGCGUAGAGAUUGGGAAGAACACCAGUGGCGAAGGCGCUCAACUGGGCCGUAACUGACACUCAGGGACGAAAGCUAGGGGAGCG